rfam:Nitrosopumilus sp. BACL13 MAG-120910-bin56 contig05209_1_120910-bin56, whole genome shotgun sequence.
CCCGUGGUAGCUCAGCCUGGUAGAGCUCCUGGCUGUAGAUGUUGGCUUUAGAUGGCUAAACGAAACACAGCCCAUCAGGCAUACAGAAACCGGGUUGUCGGUGGUUCAAUUCCGCCCCGCGGGA